AUUGAACGCUGGCGGCAGGCCUAACACAUGCAAGUCGAGCGAGCGGCGCACGGGUGAGUAAUGUCUGGGAAACUGCCUGAUGGAGGGGGAUAACUCCUGGAAACGGUAGCUAAUCCCGCACACCAUCAGAUGUGCCCAGAUGGGAUUAGCUAGUAGGUGGGGUAAUGGCUCACCUAGGCGACGAUCCCUAGCUGGUCUGAGAGGAUGACCAGCCACACGGGAAAUGAGACACGGUCCAGACUCCGACGGGAGGCAGCAGGGGGGAAUAUGGCACAAUGGGCGAAAGCCUGAUGCAGCCAUGCCGGGUGUGUGAAGAAGGCCUUCGGGUUGUAAAGCACGUUCAGCGGGGAGGCGUUACCCGCAGAAGAAGCACCGGCUAACUCCGUGCCAGCAGCCGCGGUAAUUC
rnacentral:rRNA from 1 species